rnacentral:rRNA from 1 species
UGAAUACGAGAUGCUACGGCGUCGAAGCAGUCUAUGUCAUACUUCCAAGAAAAGCUUGCACUGUCAUAAACAAAUAAUGCCUGUACCAUAACCGACACAGGUGGGUAGGUAGAGUAUACUAAGGGGCGCGAGAUAACUCUCUCUAAGGAACUCGGCAAAGUGACUCCGUAACUUCGGGAGAAGGAGUGCCUUAUUUAUAAGGUUGCAAUAACAAGAUCCAAGCAACUGUUUACCAAAAACACAGGUCUCCGCUAAGUCGUAAGACGAUGUAUGGGGGCUGACGCCUGCCCAGUGCCAGAAGGUUAAAGAAGUUGGUUAGCAUCCGCGAAGCUGAUAACUGAAGCCCUGGUGAACGGCGGCCGUAACAAUAACGGUCCUAAGGUAGCGAAAUUCCUUGUCGGGUAAGUUCCGACCCGCACGAAAGGCGUAAUGAUUUGGAUACUGUCUCGGAGAGGGGCUCGGUGAAAUAGACUUGUCUGUGAAGAUGCGGACUACCUGCACCAGGACAGAAAGACCCUAUGAAGCUUUACUGUAACCUGAAAUUGAAAUUGGACUUUACUUGCGCAGUAUAGGUGGGAGGCGUUGAGAAUAUUCUUGCGGGAUUAUUGGAGCCAUCAGUGAGAUACCACUCUUGUAAUGUUAGAUUUCUAACUUUGUAUCAUUAUCUGGUCAAAGAACAGUUUCAGGCGGGCAGUUUGACUGGGGCGGUCGCCUCCUAAACGGUAACGGAGGCGCACAAAGGUUUCCUCUGAACGGGUAGAAAUCGUAUCUAGAGUGUAAAGGCAUAAGGAAGCUUGACUGUGAGACCUACAAGUCGAGCAGGGACGAAAGUCGGUCUUAGUGAUCUGACGGUGCUGAGUGGAAAGGCCGUCACUCAACGGAUAAAAGUUACUCUAGGAUAACAGGCUGAUCUCCCCCAAGAGUUCACAUCGACGGGGAGGUUUGGCACCUCGAUGUCGGCUCAUCGCAUCCUGGGGCGGUAGUACGUCCCAAGGGUUGGGCUGUUCGCCCAUGAAAGCGGUACGCGAGCUGGGUUCAGAACGUCGUGAGACAGUUCGGUCCAUAUCCGGUGUAGGCGUUAGAAUAUUGAGAGGAGCCUUCUUUAGUACGAGAGGACCGAGAAGGACAUACCUCUGGUGUACCAGUUAUCGUGCCAACGGUAAACGCUGGGUAGCUAUGUGUGGAGUGGAUAACCGCUGAAAGCAUCUAAGUGGGAAGCCCACCUCAAGAUAAGUAUUCUCAUC